rnacentral:piRNA from 1 species
CAUAGUCCUAAUUCAAGGCAACAUAUUGGCAU